rnacentral:misc_RNA from 1 species
UGAACCGAGUUUUUUUUUAUAGCCAAUUGAUUUCUUGUUGAUUAUAUGUAUAAAUCAAACUAUAAAAUACAACUGGGUAUGGAUAAGAAUAUUCCAAAUUGAACCGAGUUUUUUCUUACCUACACGUGUGUGAAGAAAUGACAAAGAUGGUUUGAUCUUUUUUUUUUUCUUAACUUUUCUGGAUUAUUAUGGUUCUGUCACAAGAAGUAGGACUCGGUCUCAGUACCAUGCUACAAAGGAUCAGAAGAAUUUUAUGUACAGAUCUACACAAAAUCUAAAGUUGUAUAUACUUACUCCAGUAAGGAAAUUCAAUGCUCCAAAAGUGAAGUAAUUAGCUUGAAGCACAAGCAUGAUAGCUUUCAAGAAUCAAGAUGAGAAUAUAUUGCUACACCAAUUUCUUUUCUUUUAUCAAUGCCUUGUUUGUGACUCUCCUGGAGCAAGUUCUGGGGUUGCAGGAACUAUGUCAAGAUGCCCUUGGUGACUAGCAUUCCCCACUGAUCGCUCAGAACCAGGCAGUAGCCAUUGGCGAGAGUGUUCAGUUGAGGUCUCAGGACUAUCAAUAGACCGGACCAUACUCAUUGUCGAUUGUCUCAUACGUUUUGUUUCCAAAGAGUCUUGUAUUGGGAACCGACAAACGGGACAUGUAGAUUGUUUUCUUAGCCAUACAUCAAUGCAAGACAGAUGAAAGUUGUGACCACAUUUGGGCAUGAUGCGCAAUACUUCCUUUUCUUGGUAUUCUCCUAAACAUAUUGAGCACCUGUUGAAAGUAGACAAUUCUCAGUCUCAUCAACGUUCAAGAAAGAAAGUAUCAAUCAGUAUAUUUAAGUCAAAAGCAUUAGGACUUCCUGUACUCUCUUCAUAUGUUGGAAUAAAAGCAAUGAAGCUAACAGAACAACUAUUAAUGACAACAGAAUACACAAGUUUUGAACUUCAGUACAACAGGGAAGAAAGAACAACGCAAAAUAUACAUACUUGAAUGAAGGAGGGGGAAGAAGAAAAACACAAUUAAUUACAAGAAAAAAAUAAUUCUAAAUAUUUGUUAGUGGCUGCAGAAUUUCAAAUCAGCAGCUCAGGGAUCAAAAUCAAUUCAAAUAAAUAUGUAAAGGAUUUGCACGGCUGGUUAAACGCCAUCUUCAACAAAUAUAACAGGAAAUUAAAACGCAUACACCUAUUUGGCUAAUAAAGACCUGAAAUCUUCUUCAUCAAUAAGAGGAGAAAAAACAGUAUAUAUGCUAAAUCAAGAAAAAUGUAGUUCUCUAAAAAUAGAGCAUAAUUAAAGGUGGCAAAACUAACUGCGCAUCUUCCACAGAACUAAAUGCCUCACGGCUGAACUUCAUAGUGGGAAUAGCCGAAACCAGCACUGGUUCAAGGCCACUAAUCCGAUGUUCUGGCUGUUCAAGGUCAAUCCUGGACUCAAUCUCGAACAUUUGCCUCGAUUCGGACGCUCGAAUCCUCCCACAUAUUAUUCUUGUGCAAACAAACACAAUAAAAGUGGCACUCAUCCCAAACCCAAUAAUUGUAGUGAUCAAAUUCAUCCCUGAACCUAACAUCUGCUCACUAUCAAAAAUCAACGGGUACUCACGAGUCCAACCGCAAAUACAAGUUGCAAGAAAUAACCCCAAGUUCUUCAACAAGACCAAGACAAAUAAAAAUAAGGGGAAUUAGAAGACCCACCAGCUCGAGAGCAAUUAAGAUGAUGCAAGACACAGAAAACCAGGGAAGUAACAAAGACCCAGAUCAGGAACCUUUAAGAAAUGACUAUUCUUCAAUAGUUCAAUGCCAAGAUGCAUAAAACUAAAUCACAAAAAGAAGAAGAAGAAGAUUGAAAACCCACAUGGAAUCAUAAUCGCUUUGGGUGGACUCAAAGUUGAUUCAAAGGGAAGGGGGCCAUUGAACGGAUGGUAGGGAUGAG